rnacentral:rRNA from 1 species
GACGAACGCUGGCGGCGUGCCUAAUACAUGCAAGUCGAGCGGACGUUCCGGAGUGGUUGCAGUCUGCAGGGUUAGCGGCGGGCGGGUGAGCAACACGUAUGCAACCUGCCCAUAAGAACGGGAUGACAUCCGGAAACGAUAGCGCAUACCGGAUAGACGGACCUCUGGCAGGAGGGGAGCGGGAAAGGCGGAGCAAUAGGCUGCUUAGGGAUGGCCCGGGGGCGGAUUAGCUGGUUGGCGGGGUAACGGCCUACCAAGGCGACGAUGCGUAGCUGAGCUGAGAGGAUGAUCAGUCACACUGGAACUGAGACACGGUCCAGACUCCUACGGGAGGCAGCAGUAGGGAAUCUUCGGCAAUGGGCGAAAGUCUGACGGAGCCACGCCGCGUGAGUGAAGAAGGUCUUCGGGUUGUAAAGCUCUGUUGCUAGGGAAGAACGGCUGGAAGUGAAUAUGCCCCUGUCAUGACGUUACCUGAAGAAAAAGCACCGGCUAACUACGUG